rnacentral:rRNA from 1 species
UACGAAGGGGGCUAGCGUUGUUUCGGAAUUUACUGGGCGUAAAGCGCACGUAGGCGGGUUUUGUAAGUAGGGGGUGAAAUCCCAGGGCUCAACCCUGGAACUGCCUUCUAAACUGCAAAGCCUGGAGGUCAGGAGAGGGCGAGUGGAAUACCGAGUGUAGAGGUGAAAAUUCGUAGAUAUUUCGGUGGAACACCAGUGGCGAAGGCGGAACUCGCUGGACUGAUACUGACGCUGAGGUGCGAAAAGCGUGGGGGAGCAAACAGG